rnacentral:rRNA from 1 species
AUACAGAGGUCUCAAGCGUUGUUCGGAUUCAUUGGGCGUAAAGGGUGCGCAGGCGGCGUGGAAAGUUGAGUGUGAAAUCCUGGGGCUUAACCUCAGAACUGCACUCAAUACUCCCAUGCUAGAGGAAUGUAGAGGAGAGUGGAAUUCACGGUGUAGCAGUAGAAAUGCGUAGAUAUCGUGAGGAAGACCAGUUGCGAAGGCGACUCUCUGGGCUAUUUCCUGACGCUCAUGCAC